AAAUAAAAAUACUUUUGUCUAAAAAAAAGCUUGGCCAAACAGAUUGGACUUCCUUUUUCUCAAUGGACAAGCUCUAGAAGUUUCAUCAAUUUCGGCAACCUAUAUUUGUCAUGCAUGAUGACGUGUAUAUCCAAAAUCUUCUUGGCCCAUGUGUCAAGAUGCUACAGCUGGAAAAAGAACCUGAUCCAACAUGUCAAGAAGCAAGGCACUGAUUGGCUCGUGGCAUAUCCAAAGACAGAUAAGGUGAUCUUAGUGUAUUCACUCUGCAUCACAAACACCAGAAAUUGCAAUAUCCACAUCAUACGUACCACAACAUUAACUUAUAAUUUCCCCCACGCUACUUCUAUCACCCUGCCUAAAACAAAUUUCAGAAGGUUCACCUAAAUGGCUCAUGCUAUGGCUUCAAUGGGUGGCCUAAUUGGUUCGCACUACUUCUAUCACCCUUGCCUGAAACAAAUUUCAGAAAGUUCACCAAAAUGGCUCAUGCUAUGGCUUCAAUGGGUGGCCUAAUUGGUUCUUCUCAAACUGUGUUGGAUGGUCAGCUCAGUGGCUCAGCCCGUUUGAGCACUGUUAGCACCAGCAGAAUUGCCUUGGCUAGACCAGGACUCAG
rnacentral:lncRNA from 1 species